rnacentral:rRNA from 1 species
UACGGAAGGGGCAAGCGUUGUUCGGAAUCAUUGGGCGUAAAGGGCGCGUAGGUGGUUCUGUAUGUCUGCCGUGAAAGCAUACAGCUCAACUGUAUUUUGUCGGUAGAAACUGCAGGACUUGAGGCUGGGAGGGGCUGGUGGAAUUCCCUGUGUAGCGGUGAAAUGCGUAGAGAUGGGGGAGAACACUCGUGGCGAAGGCGGCCAGCUAGACCAGAUCUGACACUGAGGCGCGACAGCGUGGGGAGCAAACAGG